rnacentral:rRNA from 1 species
AGAGUUUGAUCAUGGCUCAGGAUGAAUGCUGGCGGCGUGCCUAACACAUGCAAGUCGAGCGGUAACAGGUCUAGUUUACUAGAUGCUGACGAGCGGCGGACGGCUGAGUAACGCGUGGGAACGUGCCCCAAAGUGAGGAAUAACUGCCCGAAAGGGUAGCUAAUACCGCAUAUGAUCUUCGGAUUAAAGGAUUUAUCCGCUUUGGGAGCGGCCCGCGUACGAUUAGAUAGUUGGUGAGGUAAAGGCUCACCAAGUCUACGAUCGUUAGCUGGUCUGAGAGGAUGACCAGCCAGACUGGAACUGAGACACGGUCCAGACUCCUACGGGAGGCAGCAGUGAGGAAUCUUCCACAAUGGGCGAAAGCCUGAUGGAGCAACGCCGCGUGCAGGAUGAAGGCCUUAGGGUUGUAAACUGCUUUUAUAAGUGAAGAAUAUGACGGUAACUUAUGAAUAAGCACCG